GGCUGGUCUGAAGGUAGCGAGUUAUCUCAGUUGAUUUUCAUAGUUACAGGUUGAACUCCUUGCUCCACUCUUUCCCUCCUCACUUCUGCACUUGAUGAAUCUUAA
rnacentral:Y_RNA from 1 species